rnacentral:rRNA from 1 species
GAUGAACGCUGGCGGCGUGCCUAAUACAUGCAAGUCGAGCGAACAGACGAGGAGCUUGCUCCUCUGACGUUAGCGGCGGACGGGUGAGUAACACGUGGAUAACCUACCUAUAAGACUGGGAUAACUUCGGGAAACCGGAGCUAAUACCGGAUAAUAUAUUGAACCGCAUGGUUCAAUAGUGAAAGACGGUUUUGCUGUCACUUAUAGAUGGAUCCGCGCCGCAUUAGCUAGUUGGUAAGGUAACGGCUUACCAAGGCAACGAUGCGUAGCCGACCUGAGAGGGUGAUCGGCCACACUGGAACUGACACACGGUCCUGACUCCUACGGGAGGCAGCAGUAGGGAAUCUUCCGCAAUGGGCGCAAGCAUGACGGAGCAACGCCGCGUGAGUGAUACAGGUCUUCGGAUCGUAAAACUCUGUUAUUAGGGAAGAACAAAUGUGUAAGUAACUAUGCACGUCUUGACGGUACCUAAUCAGAAAGCCACGGCUAACUACGUG